UUAAGCUACUAAGAGCAUAGGGUGAAUGCCUAGGCACCAAAAGCCGAUGAAAGACGUGACAAGCUGCGAUAAGCCUUGGGGAGGAGCACAUAUCCUUUGAUCCAGGGAUUUCUGAAUGAGGAAACUCAGCUGGGAAAAAGAGCCCAGUUAUCCACACAUGAGUAAAGUAGUGUGUGAGAAGGGAACGUGGAGAACUGAAACAUCUUAGUACCCACAGGAAAAGAAAGAAAAAUCGAUAUCGAAAGUAGUGGCGAGCGAAAUCGAUAGAGCCCAAACCAGAAUCAGUAAUGAUACUGGGGUUCGGACAGCAUAAUUGAUUAAACGAGGAUAGUAAAACUGUUUUGGAAAAGCAGACUAUAAAGGGUGAAAGUCCCGUAUGCGAAAUUCAAGUUUACAUGGCUGUAUCCAGAGUAGUGCGAGACACGAGAAAUCUCGUAUGAAUGAGCGGGGACCAUCCCGUAAGGCUAAAUACUAAUUGGUGACCGAUAGCGAACUAGUACCGUGAGGGAAAGGUGAAAAGAACCCCGGGAGGGGAGUGAAAUAGAAUCUGAAACCCUAUGUUUACAAGCAGACAGAGCGAUUUAAGGCGCGAUGUCGUACUUUUUGUAGAACGGUCCAGCGAGUUAUAGUGUAUGGCAAGGUUAAGUUUUAAGUAAGGAACGGAGCCGAAGCGAAAGCGAGUCUGAAAAGGGCGAAUUAAGUCAUGCGUUAUAGACCCGAAACCGGGUGACCUAUCCAUGGUCAGGAUGAAGCAAGAGUAAAAUCUUGUGGAGGUCCGAACUGAUUGUCGUUAAAAAGGCACCGGAUGAACUGUGGAUAGCGGAGAAAUUCCAAUCGAACUCGGAGAUAGCUGGUUCUCCUCGAAAUAGCUUUAGGGCUAGCCUUGGAGGAAGACGAAUGGAGGUAGAGCACUGAAUGAGGUAGGGGCCUAACCAGGUUACCGAACUCUAUCAAACUCCGAAUGCCAUUCGUUAAUAUCCAGGAGUCAGACUACGGGAGCUAAGUUCCGUGGUCAAAAGGAAAAGAGUCCAGAUCGUCAAUUAAGGUCCCAAAUGGAUAGCUAAGUGGAAAACGAUGUGAUUUUGCGUAAACAACCAGGAUGUUGGCUCAGAAGCAGCCAUUCAUUAAAAGAGUGCGUAAUAGCUCACUGGUCGAGUGAAGUUGCGCGGAAAAUUACCGGGGCUAAGUUAUCAACCGAAAUUGCGGAUUUGUAAUUUAUUACAAGUGGUAGAGGAGCAUUCUAUUGUAGGAUGAAGUCAGAGCGUGAGCACUGGUGGACGAGAUAGAAGAGAGAAUGCUGGAAUAAGUAGCGAGAGCAGGGUGAGAAUCCCUGCCGUCGAAAGUCUAAGGUUUCCUGGGGAAGGUUCGUCCGCCCAGGGUUAGUCAGGACCUAAGGAGAGGCCGAAAGGCGUAUCUGAUGGAUAGCAGGUUGAUAUUCCUGCACUAUAUAAUACUUAAAAGAUGCAACUGACGCAGAAGUGGAAGGUGAGCAAGGAAAUGGAAAAACUUGUUCCGCAAGGGGGAGUGAAAAUAAAGUAACGAAGCACCAAGAAGCACGCUGACGAGAAAAGGUUGUAGAUCUUGUAUUAUAUACUUGUACCGCAAACCGACACAGGUAGAUGAGGAGAGGAUCCUAAGACGAUCGGGAGAAGCAUUGUUAAGGAACUCGGCAAAUUGACCCCGUAACUUUGGAAGAAGGGGUACUGGUGUAACAGCCAGUCGCAGUGAAUAGUCCCAAGCAACUGUUUAACAAAAACAUAGGUUUCUGCUAAAUCGAAAGAUGAAGUAUAGGAGCUGACGCCUGCCCAGUGCUGGAAGGUUAAGGGAACGUGUUAAUAGUAAUAUGAAGCACCGAACUGAAGCCCCAGUGAACGGCGGCCGUAACUAUAACGGUCCUAAGGUAGCGAAAUUCCUUGUCGGGUAAGUUCCGACCCGCACGAAAGGCGUAAUGAUUUGGGCACUGUCUCAACGAGAGACUCGGUGAAAUUUUAGUACCUGUGAAGAUGCAGGUUACCCGCGACAGGACGGAAAGACCCCAUGGAGC
rnacentral:rRNA from 1 species